GAUUAAACCGAGUUAAAAAAUAAAUCUCUUGUUAACCAGUGAACUAUUUUUCGCUCGUGAAGUUAAGUACGCAGCACAUAUCGAUAAACAAAUGUAGGAAUAUUUCGCGUUUGUAGCAGCCGUGUUUUUUUCAUAACCAACGUGACAUUUUUGGCAACUAUUUUUGGAGCCUUUUUUGGGAUCCUUUUUGCUGACAUUUAUUGAACAACAUUUUUCACACAUAAGGCUGCUACACUAUGAACAUGUUCGGCGGCCAUAACCCCAGCGGAUUUGGCUACGGACAGCACGGUGGCUUUGGCAGCCCACCGGGGGCCAAUCCCCAAUUCGCAGGCAGUCCCCACGGCGCGGGAGCAGGGGCCGCGGUGGGCCACGCCAACCAGUACGCCGGCCUGAGCCCCGGCAUCAGCAACGUGACCAACCGCAACGACAUGAAGUCGCGGGCCUCGCGCAUCUUCAUCGGCAACCUGAACACGGGCCAGGUGACCACGCAGGAGAUCGUGAGCCGGUUCAGCAAGUACGGCCGCAUCACGGGCGUAUCCAUCCACGAGGGCUACGGCUUUGUGCAGUACAACAAUGAGCUGAAUGCCAGGCAGGCAAUCGAGGGCGAGUACGGAGCCAUACUAUCCCGUCAGCCAAUCGAUGUGAGAAUUGCAAGUGAACCAAACCCAAACCGGCCGAAGGGUUUCAAGAGAGUUCAAGGAAACGUCACAAGUGGUUACUUAGACCCGGCCACCCUGCCGGUCAUUGUGCCCGCCGGCCCACCAGCAGCUAAGAAGCAGAAGACCUUCACCGGCAAAAAGGCGCAGCAGUUCGCUGGGCAGGAGCCGCCCAUAUGGAUGUGUGCAUACUGCAAGGUGCAUGUAGACAGCUGUUGGGGCUUGAUGAGACACGUGGCCAGGGAACACCAGACACAGGUCUACAUGGACGAGUUUUGACCGCGACAAUGGCUUCCAGACCUGUGUACAUACUGGCCCGGGGAAGGGAUGGAGAAGGGUGGUCCGGGCCCCGACCAGUGGAUCUGCGCCUACUGCAAGGACGAGGCAGACGACGAGUGGGAGUUGAUGAAGCACGUGGCCUUCAGCCACAAG
rnacentral:misc_RNA from 1 species